CUUGAACCCAGGAGUUUCAGGCUGCUGUGAGCUAUAAAUCCCACCACUGCACUCCAGCCUGGGCAACAGAGCAAGACUCUAUCUCAAAUUAAAAAUAAAAUGCCACUGAACAAACAGGAACUAAAAGUUAUAUGGUCAACAUUUGUACUGCUCAUUGCCUAAGUCUAGGGGCAGAGGAUUGUGCCCAGGUAAUGACUAUUAGAAAAACCAGGGAACUUCCUUUAAUCAAUCCUUUAUUGAGUGGUUCCAGUUCUGGCAUUCAGAGUUGUAUAUUUGGUUUCAGUUUUUGUUCUAUUUAUGUCAAGAGAAAAAACUUCCAGCAAACCAAAUGAAAAGCAAGACACAUCAGCAUCUAAAGAAUUUCCAUAUUUAUUUUACAUAAUUUUACCAUACACAUCUCAUGCCAACACACAGGAGGCAUAUACAAACAAACGCACCAGCUUCUCUUUUCCAAAGUCACAUGGCAAUAAAUAAGGAUGGGUGGGUCCUUUUUUUUUUCCCCCUCCCAGGAAACGAGACUUAAUUUCUCUUUAACUGUACAAAAUUUACAUUGUGAAGGAUGAGGGCAGCGAUCCAGAGCUGAGGGGAUCUGGGGCUUUGAGGUCUGAUUGAUUGCAAGCUCAGAGCAACUUCUGGAAUCCCGCAGCCCUGAACCUGCUUGUUUGGCCGAACACAGUCCUCAAGUGGGAAAGUUGUUGGUGUGAUUCUUGCCUCUUGGUGGGCAACAGAUGAGAGUGGGGCUGUCCUUCCUCUGUUCACCUGUGCUCUGCCUCCCUAAGCAAAGGAUUGCUUGGUGCACCUCCCAAACCUGCAGCUGUCUCCUCACCAGAGCUAGCAGCAUGAAACUGUGCUUUUAGUGUGGUCCUACCAAGCAGAGUGUGGAUGGGAUGACUUUGCUGAGCUCUCUCUUUUUGGCUCCAGUCACUCACUGUGUUUAGAGCAGUUGGAGCAACUACUGCAAAAAGGGCCAAUUGACCAAUCCAAGAAAGAGAGAGCCAGUGAUGUGCUUUUUAUUUAGCUUUCAGCAUGCCCAGAGCCCUUCCGCAGCAGGCAAUAAAACAAAACUCAUUUCCGCUUAAUUGAAUUUUUCUUCAUCUCACAGCUUCCAAUUUUUAAAGUGCAAUGUUUAAAAAUGAGCCUCCUCAGGCCUUCCAGACCCUGCUGGCUGGGGAGGUAUGGUAAUUAUUCUCAUGGUUAUAACCAAGUUGUCAGUCGUGGCAUGUGGGAGUGGAGGUGCAGAGAGUGGACUGUCACACAACACACAGCCUUUGCUCAUCAGAAGCCUUGAGCCCCCUCCUGUAAAGAGGCAGUUGGAAAUCACCAGCUUGAGCUUCAGAGAGAGAAAUGUCUUUUGUUUUACAGAUUUCUUACACUUCCUUGCAAAGUGAGCUUAAUGAUGAAGAUCAAAUGGCCCAAUUAUCUUACUAGGUUUCAUGUUUUAUACUGGCCCCCCAGAAGUUUAAGGACACUGACAAAUGCUUUUCUUGUGUCUUAAUUUUUUCCUCUUUCCCUGAUGUUUCACAGUAUUCAUUUGCAGGAACAAUGUUAGCAAUAUGAUUGAUAGUUGAUCUUUAUUUUACAUUAUAUUCAUAACUGUCAGAUGAGACAAGAAAGAGAAAGCACAAAGACUGAAAGGAAUUUGCCUGAGGUUGCACAGCAAGUCCUUGAAGGGCCAAGAACCUGACUCCCAACACUGACCCAUCGGCCAACUUCUUAGCCUUCGGGCCAACUUCUUAGCCUUUAAAUCUGGUAUUUCCUCCAUGGUUUCAUUACGUUCCAACAAACAGAGAUUCCUCCAUAGCCCCUCAGUUUCCAUUUUGCUUAUACCAGUUACCACUGGAACUUGGGGUUUUAACUAAUUUGCUCCUGGAUUCAAGAGCUUCCUACUCUAAAGUCGGCCAGGCAGGCACUGCAGAUAACAAGAGCCUGUAGAAGGUCUCAUUUCAUUUGUAAAAUUCAUCCAUGUCAUUUUAGCAAGGGGGGAAACAGCUAUCAUGUAGCACCUUAUACCCCAUAGUAGGCUUCCAAGCAAUAGAGGAGCGCCUCUAAGAGAAGCUAAAGGUAAUGAAUGCCCAGCUCUUCUCCAUUUCCAAACCCCAGAAGAGUCUUGUCUUGCAAUGGCUCAUUAGUGGCACCAGCCCAUCCAUAAUGCUAACCCCACCUGCAGGAAGAUCCAUUUAAAAUCUUAGACCUACUGUGGCUGUGCUUCUAAACAGGCAGCAAUGUUUGCUGCUUUCUGGGGAGGUGGCUCUGGAAAACAAAGCUCUCCUGGUUUUCAGGCCAGUGCUCUCAAGGGGUUUUCCAGCUACCCAGCCAUAAUGACACCAAAGAACUAUUGACCUCGUCAACUGUUCACUGAGUUCCUCAAGAGAUUUAUUGUGUUAGUAUAAAUGAAGAAGGCCUCUACUUCCACUAUUGAACUGGGAAUUAGUAGAUUAACUUACAGAAACAAAAACUGGUCAACUUACAGUGAUCUUAAACAGUGCUACACAGAGGAGGAUGGCCCCCCCCCCCUUUAAAGAGCCUGCUCUCCCCGACACUAUACUCACCAAAAACAUCAAGGGCCUCUGAAAUCCCAUGAGUUGCUAAACCAAAUAGUCAACUUGCAACAGUGAUCUGGGUGGGCAGCUUUUCAACUGGUUCAUUGCCCUGCAGAGCCUUUUCUCCUGGGUAUUUUAAGCAGCCAUCCUCCAAAAAGACGACUGCAUAUUCCUUUUCCUCACAUGGCAUUUAUGUCUUCCUACCCACCCCAAUGUUCAUGAUUAGAGAAUUCCCAAUAGCACAGUACUGGCAAGGCUUAACACACCAUCAUCCAUAAACAUGGAACCUCAAGAGAAGUGUCUAUGUUUGCAGACUCCUCAAGCAAAAAUCAUGACCACUGCAGCACUAUCAAAAAAACAAGGGUACACCAUAAAAUUGGUCAGAGAAGAGGUGGCCCAAAGGCUGAUCCCGGAAUUUACUGUUUUAAAGAAGCUUAACUGAAAUUAGUUUAGUCCUGGAAAGGGACUUUCAAAAGAUGCAGCAGCCCAAGAGGAACUGUGUAUUCUUCCUUUAGUCUGCCUAUGACAUGCCUAAAUCUUUGCAGUCCUCAAAAGGUGACCAACCAUUCUUAGAAGGAAGGGUCCUUAGGGUCUCUGGCCCCAUCACUUCAUGUGAUAGAAAGGCAAUGCCUUCUCACCCUUUCCCACUCUGCUGAUCUCAUUUAAGAGAAGGAGCGGCCAGAAGAAGAAAACCAGAGCUUCCCAGAGGGACGGCAAUACAUUCCAGCUAGCUAAAUUCCAGUUUGCUCAUGGAGAGCUUCCUGAUGGCAGAUGGGUGCACAAGGUGGGUGGGAGCUGCAGCACCAUUCAGGACAGCAUUUUCCACAGCAGUGCAGUCUGUCACAGGAGUGGCAACUCGUAAAGCGGCGGUUGGCCUUGCCCUGGCCUCAGGCCUAGUGAUGUGCUACUGCAAACCUGCACAACAGGGAGUCCCUGCACCACCACUGGCCAGAGAGCUCUGGCUUUCUGACCAUGGGACUGCAGCCCAAGACAUGGCAGGUGUCCAGCCAGCAAUCCAGACAGAUGCAGCCCAAGAACCACCUUAGACAAUUUUAGGGCUGCUCCCUAAAUUAUUCUUCCCAAACAAGGUAGGCCAAAAAAAAAUUGCUGGUUCCUGGAAAGGACCAAAACUGUCCUCCAAUUGAGUCAGCUAGGACAGCAGAGAAAGCUUUCAUUAUUAAGGGGGCAGAGGGGUAGACUUGCAAGCUCAUCUAAACCAACUCCUUCAAAACAGACUCCAAAUAUUUCACCCUACGAGGGAUGGGGAACUCUGGAAGACUGGCAUCAGCCGAUAUGGCCGAACAGACUGCAGGUUUGGAAUCCAAAUGUGUCUAUAAAUGUUCACUGAUUGUCAUUCUGUUCUCCCCACAUUUUAGUUUUGCUCAUUUUGUGGCCCACAGCCUGUCUUGUGGAAUAAAUGAUACAAGGAAUUGAAGAAGGCACACUGCACCAAGGGGACUCAUCAGGCAGUCUGCAGCGGUGGUCCAGGGCUACUCAGCUCAGCCUCAGUCACCUGCAAUGAAAACCACCUCUUGCCAUCAGAGUCAAUGAUAUAGAUGAGAUUUAAAAACCAAAACAAAUUCAUAUUCUCUGGUUUGUAGAAAAGAAUAUCUUCAGAGCAAACAAAAAAAAAGGAGGGAGCAUAUUUUUCAUAUCAAACUGUGGCCAGCAAAGUGUUCACUAACCUUUAAUAACUGAUCUUUUCAUUUUGAAAUAUAGGGUUCAAUAUGGAUGGUCCAGAAAUCACUUUCAUUUUACUCAAGGGCUGUGAGGCCUCUACCUUAGGAAUCUCAGUUCUCAUGAGAGCAGCAUUUUGGGAGGCAUUGCGUGAGACACACUAGUUGGAGCAACGUUCCCAAAGCCCAAGGGGGCCUGUCACAGUCACCUUGUGCUACCAAAUCACUGAGCAGCCAAGCUCCUAAGCAGAACAGGAGGGGAGAGACCCAACAAGCCAGUGUCCCUAGAGCUCUAGGCCAUUACCCCCUGUGCUGUGUUCUGAGAUGAGGCUGCUCUCCCACUGCUUCCCCAGGAAAACACGCCCUGUGGUCUCACAGCCUUCUGGGAAUCAGUGGAGGACUUCCAUUGAAAAUAAUGGAAAUUCACAUUGGCGUACUUUCAGUCCUUAAAAGGAAUACAUGUGACCAAGAAAGACGCCCAAGGACGGCAGCUGCCUUGCAGCCAAGCAUGGGUCAGACACACCAGUAUGGCAGCCUGACAUCCAGAGGCCAACCCAGGCCAAGGAGAAAAACAAGAAACACCUGCAAAGCCUAAUUCCCAGGUCCCAGAAGGAUGGUUAAAUGUUUGGUGAGCUCGUUGGUCCCUUGUGGCUCGUGUACUAACACUCCGGCUACACUGAGGAGGAUGAAUGCCUAAGACUAGGUGGGUCAGAUGUCUCCACAUCACAAAUGGAAACUACAUGCUGACAAGAUUUACCCUGAAAGCUUUCAAGCUGAGAAAGGGCUUGGUUUAGUUGGUUGGGAAGCAAGCAGGCCCGUAUGGUCAGGGAAACUGAGGACCACUCUUAGACAUCUGUACAAAAUCCUCUGGUCUAUCUGGAAGAUAGGUUCAAUAUCAAAGGACUUGGUUUCUGUCUGUAUUCAAUAAACUCUUCACUGGGGACAAAGAAUUGACUUGAUUAAGGCAAAUGAACCUUCUUGUUUCUUGAAGAAUUUCAUUAAAGGGAUCUAAUGGAAUCUUUGCCACUUGAAAGAAUUCAUCUCUCCAACAGAGGUGAGCAGUUUUAGUCUUUGGGUAAUUAUUCCCAGAGAGACCAAUGAUAGGUCAGCCCAGGGACCCACCUGCAUCCAACAGAAAUGAGCUUAACAAUCCAGUAUGUUCUAGGUGUUGACUUCGACAGCCCAGAUGAGAUUAAGUGACUUUCCUAAUCCUGCCAAGAAGCCUAGAAGGUAAGCAUUAGUCCCAUGAGCGGUCCCCAAGGCCCCACAGCCCCUGUAUUCUGAGAGGAGGCUGCCCUCUAGGGCUCAGCUGACCUCUGGGCUGAACUACAGUCCCCCCAGGGCAUCGUGGUCCUGGCAGGCAACUUGUUCCAUCCUCUGUCCCACAAACUUCUUUUUCUAUUUCCUAUGCACCAAUCCCUAAAUAAGGCCUCCCCAGACUAGACUUCAACACCCCAUCCCUUCUGAGGCCUGCCCCCCACUCCCCUUAGAAAAAACAUGGUGGGGGGAGCUCAUGCUCUUCAAAGGGGACAGGAAGAUGAAGGCUCCACUCCACUGUCAAAUGGCCAUGAGUUAGCCUUUUGCCAGGGCCCUCUGCGGGAGCCGCAGGCUCCUUGUGGGAACGAUCAUGCCUUCCAGGUAUACAGAUGUGCCAGGCUUUCCCCAAGCCCGUCCAUAGUCGGUUGUGUUCAUUGAUCCCCACAACGCAGUGAGAGGGGCAAAGAUGGGGUAUUCCCCAUGGGAAUACUGGGGCUCAAGAGAAGUGAAUCGAUUUGACAGAGCCGCACUGGAAACCAGGUCUCUGAUCGCCAGUGGAGUACUCUUCCCUUCCCCCUCCGCAGAAGACUUUCCACAUUUGGGAAUUCAGUAACUGAGAACAGUUAUGAUUCUUUGCAAACAACCUGAGGAUUCACAACAUGCAGUAAUUUGCAAUUUUGCUGAUGCACGAAUUUGAAUAUAGCUCAUGCUGCAAAGCUUGUGUGCAGGGGACAGAAUGAAGUGAGUGGUGGGGGAAGGGAGUUCGGAAGUGAAGCCAGUUCCCCAUCUCACAUGCGCUCACAACACUGAUUUCCCAGGAAAAAGGGCCUGCGGAGCAUGUCCUCCCCACCACCAUGACUGGAGGAAGGGGCGGCUCUAGGGGACCAUCGGUGUAGGCCAGUGUCCCAGCAAAGGGGAGAAAGAUGGGAGAAGGGCUAGGGGCACAAGGCUGGGACCCGGUCAUCUGUUCAUAGCUAUGUGGGCUGAUGAGGGAGGCCCCAGUCAGCAGGAGGGGAGGGGAGGCCUUGGGGCCACAGGACGAGGCCUGGCCCAUCCCAGCUUCCAGACCUCAGCAAUCUUGUUUCCUACUCCUGUCCCACGGUAAAGGGCCACUACCAUUUCCCCCACCCUUCACCGCAAGUCUUAAGGAAAAGCCUGCGUUUGGGAGGCAGUUGCCAAGGCCUCAAGAAAGAUCCCUCCUGAGUGCCAGGGAUUACAGAUUCCCAGGGGACUUUCCUAAGGCCUUGGCCUGGCCCCUCCAGCCCUGCUCACCUCGGAAGCUCAGCUCACUGUCACUAACCCCACAGUCCUCUGCAGAGCUCUCCUUCUCCUGCUUGCUGCCGCCUCGGCUUCUCUUGACGCUCUUAUAGAACUGCCCCCAGCGGUGCCGCCCUGCAUCCUUCUUCAGGCGUUUCUCUUUGGCCCUUCUGUUCUGAAACCAAACCUGCCACACAAGCACAAGGGACACACUCAGGGGCGUCCAUCACGAACCCAAAGCCCCCAGGACCCCCAAGGCAGGCGGCUGGAAGCAGAUUGAAGCCUGAAUGGAGCGCAGGUCCGGGAGUGCCAUGAGCCCCGCCCCCUCUCCCCAGGUGGGCCUCAGAACUCUUCAGUUCUGGCAAAAGCCCUGGGGUCAGGCCCUGAGCCCAACCACCGGUGAACUGAUGUCACUCAGGACACCUUCCACCCCGUCCCGGGCCUGGGAUCCCCGGAGGGCACAGGAGUGCUGGCAUCUCACCUGCACGACCCUCAUGUCCAGGCCUGUCUCUGAGGACAGCUGCUCCCUCACGUGCCGGGCAGGCUUGGGGGAGUUCUUGUACGCAUUCUUUAAUGUCUCCAGCUGCUUGGCUGUGAUGGUGGUCCGGGGCCGCUUAGCUCCGGCCUCUGAGUCAUCUGCAAGGAAAAACCACUGCUUACUGGCUUCGGCCUAUCUGCAGCAGCUGCGCCUCCUCCCCCACCCUCCUUCCAUCCUUUCUGCACCUAAGCCUGCCUGCUGUAGGCAGGGCAGUGCGAGGCACAGGGGACAUCAGAGUGGAGAGGUCCCCAAUCUCAUGGCACCGGCUCCUGCACCACAGGCCUUCCCAAGCCACUGGAAAGUAAGGACCGCCGUCCUUUCUCUGCUCAGCUCCCUGCUUCUCCCCUCCCCUGCCAGCCCAGCUGCAUAGAAGUCUCAUCAGACUGAAUGAAUGUACCAGCUCCACACAUGUCCCUGUCAUGACAAACACACUGCUCGCACAUCCUCGUGAGUUCUUGCCGGAGCUGUGAAGGUGAACAGCCAGGUUGAAGUCCGUGUUCCAAGCCGCCCCGAACACCUUCCUCUCUCUCAUGGGGAGUCUCCUGUUUCCCCACAGCCAUGUCACCUUGGCCCUGGCGUUGCUGGGCUCACAGCCAGGGCUGAGCUUGCACACCCAAUAGUGUCUAAGCAGGUUUCUAAGCUAUGGGUCAGAACCCACUCGUGGGCUGUAAAGUCAACUUAGUGGACUAAAACUAAAAGAAGAAAUCAGAUGAAGAGAAUGGAAUGGCAAGAUCAUCAUUAACCUUUAGUUUUUAUCGUAUGAAUGUAUGUACUGAGAUGAAAUGUCAAAUGAGUUUUACUGUGGAUCGUAGUCAAAAUUUUUUGAAAAAACUAGUCGAAGGAAUGUUCUGGGCAACACAUUGACUGAUCAACACAAAGUCCUCUACAGAUUUUGAGUGAACAAGCUAAAGUUCCUGUUAAAGUCUGGUUUGUUCCAUUCAAAGUCAGGCAGAGAGAGAGGCACGUGGGUGUGUUCAGAAGCACAGAUGAGCAGAAAGGUUUGUUUCUUCUCCCAGCACUUAGGCUUACUGCCCUUUUCUCCACAGUGCCCCUGGAGGACACAAAGAAUAAAGUCAGCAGCUGGCCGGGGCAGCUCUGCUCCCUGUGCUUGCUCCCCUGUGUGCCCCUGAAAGUGUCUCUGUGCCAUUCCUGACUUCCUCUCUGUCUUUUCUCCUUUCUUUCAAGAAAACCCUCUCUUAGGAACAAUAAUAGCCAACAUGUGUUAGCACCUACCAUGUGCUGGUGUUGACUAAGGACUUUAUACGCAUUCGGUCCUCACAGUCUACAAGGCUCUCCCUGGAGUCAGCAGACCUGGCUUCCAUGUUCUUGUUGAGUGAGUGACUUGGACCAGUAACUCACCUCCCCUUUGGAAGCCCAGAGGGCAACACAGCCUGCCCUGGUCUUGGGAGGCACUAGAGGAAUGAAGCAGCUGUGCGGCCAGGACAUGCGUGCACACAGUGAGGGGGACGCACCCGCGCCUUCCCUUCUCCUUGGGCUGUUUUCUUCUCUCACGUGGCCACUGUCAUCCCAGAACUGCUGUGGCCCAACUCCCUCCCUGAAGCCGCUGCCGCAGAGAUGACACUACCUAGAGUCAUUCCAAAGACAAGGGGAACCUCCAAAACGCCUUCCUUUUAAUUCUGAGGAGUCAGUCCCUUCUGUGCAUUAUUUAUAGUCUACACGGGAGUGUCUGAUGCAACUUUGAAUUAUGCAAAUGGGAAAUAGCGCACUUGUAUACAGUCUUUCUAUUAAAAACUGUGAAAUAAUGCAA